rnacentral:misc_RNA from 1 species
AACCCUCAAAAGAAAAAGCUUAACUGUUUCUCUUUUGGAAUUGGAGCGUGCUGGCCUCUUGUUAGAAGAGCCCAGCUCCUCUGAAAUACAUUAGCGAUGUGACGUCCGCGCGGCACCACGCUUCUCUGGCAUUGAUAAGUAUCUUCAUGCCUGAGCGUGUUGUGCAGCUGUGGAAAGUUUUGCUCGCUCAUAGCCGAUGGGUCAGGCCCAUCCUUUGACCA